rnacentral:rRNA from 1 species
AGUGAACGCUGGCGGUAGGCCUAACACAUGCAAGUCGAACGGCAGCACAGUAAGAGCUUGCUCUUACGGGUGGCGAGUGGCGGACGGGUGAGGAAUACAUCGGAAUCUACUUUUUCGUGGGGAUAACGUAGGGAAACUUACGCUAAUAACGCAUACGACCUACGGGUGAAAGCAGGGGAUCUUCGGACCUUGCGCGGUUGGAUGAGCCGAUGUCGGAUUAGCUAGUUGGCGGGGUAAAGGCCCACCAAGGCGACGAUCCGUAGCUGGUCUGAGAGGAUGAUCAGCCACACUGGAACUGAGACACGGUCCAGACUCCUACGGGAGGCAGCAGUGGGGAAUAUUGGACAAUGGGCGCAAGCCUGAUCCAGCCAUACCGCGUGGGUGAAGAAGGCCUUCGGGUUGUAAAGCCCUUUUGUUGGGAAAGAAAAGCAGCAGGUUAAUACCCCGCUGUUCUGACGGUACCCAAAGAAUAAGCACCGGCUAACUUCGUG